CUACGGGUGGCUCCAGUGGGGAAUAUUGGACAAUGGGGGAAACCCUGAUCCAGCAAUGCCGCGUGUGUGAAGAAGGCCUGCGGGUUGUAAAGCACUUUCGGUUGGGAGGACUGCUUCUAGCACUAAUAUUGUUGGAAGUUGACGUUACCUUCAGAAGAAGCACCGGCUAACUCCGUGCCAGCAGCCGCGGUAAUACGGAGGGUGCAAGCGUUAAUCGGAAUUACUGGGCGUAAAGCGCGCGUAGGCGGCUAGAUCAGUCGGGUGUGAAAGCCCCGGGCUUAACCCGGGAACUGCAUCCGAUACUGGCUUGGUUGAGUAAAGGAGAGGAGAGUGGAAUUCCACAUGUAGGGGUGAAAUGCGUAGGUAUGGGGAGGAACACCAAUGGCGAAGGCAGCUCUCUGGCCUGAUACUGACGCUGAGGGGCGAAAGCGUGGGGAGCAAACAGGAUUAGAUACCCUAGUAGUC
rnacentral:rRNA from 1 species